GUGGGAGAUGUGAGAAUGUGUGUAGCAUACGCAUUUUUUCGCAUGUUUGUUCUUGUUUACGUUUAGAAAGAAAAUACUUGCUUAUAAUGUUUCAGGAUGAAAUUAUUUUAUGAAUGUAAAUAUUUAUUUUUUGCUGUGCAUCUCAACGACUAAAUAUGAAAAAAAUGACUGGCAGAUGCUGCAGUUUUUUCUUCAAUAUCCGCUCAAGUGGUAAAAUUCCUUGCAGUUCAUGCUAGUUGGAGAUGUUUUUAGUUAUUCAGUUUCCUUUAUUUCAUUUUUAAUUGAAAGGAUGGCAGUUCUUCUCUGUGACGCGGUUCUAAGACUUAAAUGUUGCCAUAAAUCGAGAUCAAGAUUCUUGGCGGCUUAAUUCCUUACUCCCCGACAAGUCUGAAAUCAAGAACAGUCAAGAAACUGGGGAACUUAAGCAAUUCCACGAUAAUAGCCGAAUGAUAACAUUAACCGCGAUCACAUUAAGCGGGGCAUAUUGUGAAUGGUAUUCUUAAUACAUCUGAACACAUGACCGCUCAUCACUUUUAACAUUUAAUACUGGAAAUUUUAAAAAAUUUAAACUUGCUUUCUAGGAACAAAAUGUGAUUGUAAUUUGACAUACAGUGAGUGUAGAAAUUAUUCGUGCACUCAUCAAAGGCAAUAUCUAAUAAAAAGCUUUUACCAAAUACGAGGGCAAAAAAUGAUAUGGAAAAGAUAUUGAAAUAGCUUUUAAAUGUACGAGAAACUAAGGACUGGAGAUUAAUUGGUGAGUCAAUGUAUUCGUACAUUCAAACAAAUGCAAAAUUUUGUUAGCAUUUUCUGAUUGAUUCUUUGAUAAUUGACAUAUCUUUCGAGUUAUAUAAAAUGAACGAGUGUAACUUCAAAUGUCAUAAGAAACAUAAAAUUUUAAUAUCGGUCGUAAGGACAAAGAAGUGAGUGUUUCGGAAAGAGAAUUAAUCUUAAAUCUUCUUAAAGGCUUUAAAUCGUACAAUAAAAUUUCAGUUUUUGUCUCCAUACUACGUUCAGCUGUGCAGUCGAUUAUUCUAAAGUUUAUUACCUCUAGAAAAGUGCAAAAUAGUUCUCGUUCAGAACGACCAUAUCUACUUACAUCCAUUGACAGACGAUUUCUGGCACGUUCAUUGAAGAAAGAUCCGAAACAAAGUGCUCCUACCCUUACAGCAGAGUUGAGAAACAUUGUAAGAGCACAGUAUCCUUAAGUACAACUCGAAAUGAAUGCAGAAAACAAGGUUACUAUGGCCGUGUUGCGAGACGAAAAUUCUUUGUGAGGGAGAGCAAUCUGAAGUCACGUUUAUUCUUCACCAAAAAAAAAAAAAAAAAAAAAAAAAAAAAAAAAAAAAAAA